CGCCUAAGGAUGGGUCUGCGGCCUAUCAGGUAGUAGUGGGUGUAGCGUACCUACUAGCCUACGACGGGUACGGGUUGUGAGAGCAAGAGCCCGGAGAUGGAUUCUGAGACACGAAUCCAGGCCCUACGGGGUGCAGCAGGCGCGAAAACUUUACAAUGCUGGAAACAGCGAUAAGGGGACCUCGAGUGCCAGGUUACAAAUCUGGCUGUCGUGAUGCCUAAAAAGCAUUGCAUAGCAAGGGCCGGGCAAGACCGGUGCCAGCCGCCGCGGUAACACCGGCGGCUCGAGUGGUAACCGUUAUUAUUGGGUCUAAAGGGUCUGUAGCCGGCCGGAUAAGUCUCUUGGGAAAUCCAGCAGCUCAACUGUUGGGCUUUCAGGAGAUACUGUCUGGCUCGAGGCCGGGAGAGGUGAGAGGUACUUCAGGGGUAGGGGUGAAAUCUUGUAAUCCUUGAAGGACCACCAGUGGCGAAGGCGUCUCACCAGAACGGACCUGACGGCAAGGGACGAAAGCUAGGGGCACGAACCGGAUUAGAUACCCGGGUAGUCCUAGCCGUAAACGAUACUCGCUAGGUGUCGGCCACGGUGCGACCGUUGUCGGUGCCGUAGGGAAGCCGUGAAGCGAGCCACCUGGGAAGUACGGCCGCAAGGCUGAAACUUAAAGGAAUUGGCGGGGGAGCACCACA
rnacentral:rRNA from 1 species